GCCGGUGUGGCGAAACUGGUAUACGCAGGGGACUCAAAAUCCCCCGGGGGAAACCUCGUGUCGGUUCGACUCCGACCACCGGCACCA
rnacentral:tRNA from 1 species